rnacentral:rRNA from 1 species
UUAAUAGUAAUUAUAAUGUUUAAUUUUGUUAAGUUUGAUUAAGUGAUUUAUUUUUAUUUAAAGUAAUAUUAAUAAUUUUUUUGUUUUAGUAUUAAAUUAUAAAUAAUAAUUAUAUUUUUAAAUGUAAAUGAUUUUUGAAAUAAAUUAAAAAUUUUUAUUAUAAAAGUAAAAUUAAAUUUUUGUACCUUUUGUAUCAGGGUUUAUUAACUAAAUAUUAUCUUAUUGUUAAUUAUCUCGAAUUAAUUAGAGUUAAUAUAUUAUUUAAGUUAAUGUUUAAUUAUUAUUUAAAAUAAUAUAUUAGUGGAGAAAUUCUAGUCAAUAGUUAAGAUAUCUAGUUUUUUUAGAAAUAAAUUUAAUUUAUCUAUUAAAAUAAAUAUUUUAAUUAUUUUGUUUUAUUUAUUUGUUUAAUAGAAAAAAUUUAAGGGAUUAGCUUUACAUUUUAAAUUAAAAAUAAAAGUUUUUAAUUUUAAUACAUCAUAGGCUUUUGAUAUAGAUUAAAAUAAUAAAUUAUAGAUUUAAAAAUGGUUAUUAAUUAAAAUUUUUAAUAAUUUAUUUUAUAUUUUAAUAAUUGAUUUUUUUUUGUUUUAAUUAUUUAUAAAAAUAUUAAAAUUAAUAAUUUAUUUUGAGUAAUAAUGAUAAAAUUAUUAUAAUUUGAUUUAUGUUUUUAUUAAUAUUUAUUUUAAAUAUAAUUAUAAGGAAUUAGACAAAAGUAAUAUUUACCUGUUUAACAAAAACGUCUUUUUGAAAUUAAUUUAAAGUCUAAUCUGCCCAAUGAUAAAAUAGAAUGGCCGCGGUAUUUUUACCGUGCAAAGGGAGCAUAAUCAUUAGUUUUUUAAUUGAGAGCUUGUAUGAACGAUUGAAUAAAAUAUAUAUUGUCUCAUAAUUAUUUGGUUUAUAAUUUAAUUUUUAUAUUAAAAAGUUUAUAUUUUUUUAUAGGGCGAGAAGACCCUAUAGAUUUUUAUAUUUAAGUAUUUAGUUUUUUUUUAUUUAUUUAUUAAGCUUAAAUUUAAUUAUUUUGUUGGGGUGACACUAAAAUUAGAUUAACUUUUAAUUUAAUUAAACAUUAAUUUAUGAAAUUUUAAUAUAUAUAUAUAUAUAUAUAUAUUUAUUAAUUUUUGAUCCUAUAUUUUAGAUUAGUAAAUUUAAAUACCUUAGGGAUAACAGCGUAAUUUAUUUGGAGAGAUCAUAUUAAUAAAUAAGUUUGCGACCUCGAUGUUGAAUUAAGAUAAUGUUUAGGUGGAGAUACUUAAAUAAUAGGUCUGUUCGACCUUUAAAUUCUUACAUGAUUUGAGUUCAGAUCGGCGUGAGCCAGAUCGGAUUCUAUCCUUAAUAAAUAGAUAAUAUUUUUGUACGAAAGGACUUAAUAUUUUAAAUAUUUUAUUGUAUAUAAUUGAUUAAAAUUAAUU